AAUAUGUGGAAAGGAAGAAGGUAUUUGUAUGUGCAUCUUUCUUCAUUCUCCUGUUUUUCCUUUUUUCAUCUG
rnacentral:ribozyme from 1 species